rnacentral:sRNA from 1 species
UUCAGAAGACUGGCUUCUCCAUGGUGGUUCAUGGACUAAGGCAAAGAUGAGCAGAGCCGUGGCCCUCUUCUUUGUUCUCUGCUGGAUCCAAGAGUCGGAGUCUCCCUAUGUUUCCCAGGCUGGUCUCGAACUCCUGACCUCAAGUGAUCCUCCCACCUCAGCCUCCCAGAGCGCUGGGAUUGAAGACGUGAGCCACCGCACCUGGCCUGAAUUUUCCUCAGAUUCAAAAAAUCCUGAUGAAGGUUUGGCUAAAAUCUUUGGUGAGUUACCCCCAUCCUUGUGGAACCUCAGGCUGGAUUUGAAGAGUUGCAUGCGUGGUCCUCAUUGUCUCCCAGGUAACCUGUUCCCAAUGCUGUGAAGGGAAGGCAGGUGCUCUUCCUUGAGGCUAGAAUCUGUCUACGUGUCACAGUCUCAGGAAAUUAAGCAAAACAGAUGAUAAACACCUCAAAAGGACCCUACUGAGCAUGAGUGGAGCAGAGCAGGGCCAUGUGGGACUGCAGCGUCAGAUGCCACCUCACACCAGCUGUGACACACCUGCCUCACCAGUUU